GGAAUAUUGGACAAUGGGGGAAACCCUGAUCCAGCAAUGCCGCGUGAGUGAUGAAGGCCUUAGGGUUGUAAAGCUCUUUCGACGGGGACGAUGAUGACGGUACCCGUAGAAGAAGCCCCGGCUAACUUCGUGCCAGCAGCCGCGGUAAGACGAAGGGGGCUAGCGUUGUUCGGAAUUACUGGGCGUAAAGCGCACGUAGGCGGCUUUUCAAGUCAGAUGUGAAAGCCCCGGGCUUAACCCGGGAACAGCAUUUGAUACUGUCGAGCUUGAGACCGGGAGAGGAUAGCGGAAUUCCCAGUGUAGAGGUGAAAUUCGUAGAUAUUGGGAAGAACACCAGUGGCGAAGGCGGCUAUCUGGACCGGUACUGACGCUGAGGUGCGAAAGCGUGGGGAGCAAAC
rnacentral:rRNA from 1 species